ensembl:snoRNA
CCUGCCUCUGGAGAAUUUGCAGGUGUGGCUGCUGUGUCACAUGUCAGUAGGUGGCAGAGAGGAGAGAGACUGUGUCUAUGCUCAGGUUUCUGACCCGUGAACAUCUGAAUGAUUAGAUGGCUAACAUU